AGCGAACGCUGGCGGCAGGCUUAACACAUGCAAGUCGAACGCCCGUAGCAAUACGGGAGUGGCAGACGGGAGAGUAACACGUGGGAACGUGCCCAUCAGUUCGGAACAACCCAGGGAAACUUGGGCUAAUACCGGAUACGUCCGCAAGGAGAAAGAUUUAUCGCUGAAGGAUCGGCCCGCGCCUGAUUAGCGAGUUGGUGGGGGAAUGGCUCACCAAGGCGACGAUCAGUAGCUGGUGUGAGCGGAUGAUCAGCCUCACUGGGACUGUGACACGGCCCAGACUCCGACGGGAGGCAGCAGUGGGGAAUCUUGGACAAUGGGCGCAAGCCUGAUCCAGCCAUGCCGCGUGGGUGAUGAAGGCCCUAGGGUUGUAAAGCCCUUUCGGCGGGGAAGAUAAUGACGGUACCCGCAGAAGAAGCCCCGGCUAACUUCGUGCCAGCCGCCGCAGUAACAC
rnacentral:rRNA from 1 species